UCUUCUCCAGCAGUGCACUUUGGCUCUCGCCCAGGAACAGGAAGGGUGCGCGGUGAGCUGAUGAUUUUUGUUCUUAACAUCAAUGGUUUUGGUUUUUGGAGGUACUGAAUCCGUGACUCAUUUCUGAUUUCCGACUCGUCGGGCGGCAAAGCCUUUGGUUUUGGAGGUACUGAAGGCAGGUGAGAAUUUUAUGUUUUCCGGUUACUCAAGACCUAACAGGUGCUCUGUCCUCGUCACAUGUGAAUGCUGUCUGAUAUUACAGCAGAGAGUGCGGCAAAGCCUUUGGUUUUGGAGGUACUGAAGGCAGCAGAGAGUUGCCAGCCCCACACGUCCGAAAAGACCAAGUUCCACAGUAAAAAAAAUAUACCUUUCAGAAGAGUGAAAAUGACACGAGGAGAGUGGGUUUGCAAGUAUACACUUGUGUGGUGUAAAUAUAUGUAUAAUAACAGUAAAGGGCCACGCGGAUGCUUAUGUUAACUAGGCCAUUUUCAGAAGAAUGCUUAUGUUAUCUAGGCCAUUUUCAGCGGGGAUUUCAUUCUCAGUAACAGAGCACAUGUGAUGCAUGCUAGACUGCUAGUGUACUAAUUAGGAGGGAGAGGAGAUAGAUUUCAUCAUGAUGAAAUUGGGUUUAAGCUCUAUUUUUACAUGCCUCUUCAAUUUUCAUGUC